rnacentral:rRNA from 1 species
ACGAAGUUAGCCGGGGCUUAUUCUGCGGGUACCGUCAUUAUCGUCCCCGCCAAAAGAGCUUUACAACCCUAAGGCCUUCGUCACUCACGCGGCAUGGCUGGAUCAGGCUUGCGCCCAUUGUCCAAUAUUCCCC